AAAGCCACAUGGCUUUUGUUUGAAAGAUGGCUUUGGCUAUCACUCUGGGAUGGACCUGCGGUGCAUUAGCUAGUUGGUAAGGUAACGGCUUACCAAGGCGAUGAUGCAUAGCCGAGUUGAGAGACUGAUCGGCCACAAUGGAACUGAGACACGGUCCAUACUCCUACGGGAGGCAGCAG
rnacentral:rRNA from 1 species